rnacentral:tRNA from 1 species
GCCCGGGUGGUGGAAUUGGUAGACACGCCGGACUUAAAAUCCUGUGGCCGUAGGCCGUACCGGUUCGAUCCCGGUUCCGGGUA